rnacentral:lncRNA from 1 species
UUUUUUUUUUUUUUUUGGUUCCUGGGUUGACGCAGAUUUGAGGACUGACUUUGCCUAUGUCUCUAGUUAGGAUACCUCAGGAAAACUCCCUGAUGGCCCCAAGUAAGUAGGCACAAUGGAGUAAGGGGCCCUUGGGGCCUGUGGCUGCUGCAUUUUUCUAUGGACACACACACAACUCCAGGCCUGGCAGGGCUCCAGGCGGAACAACUGUAUCCAGAGGGACACACCUCCUCUUUCCUAGCCUAAACCUACGAAGGCAUCUCUCUGCCAGCUUACCAAAAUUUAGUUGAAUCCUCCAAAGAAAUAAAUUUUCUAUGAGAAACUAUGCUAUGGGAAGUGAAAAUAUAGAUAACAUAUAUAUUUAAAAAUAUAGCAUGAGGAUUAGAAGUUAGUGCCACAAAUAUGUGCAAGGAUGAUUGUUAUGAUGAUGUACUUAUUAACACAAGCGUUCUCAAUCCAACACUGUGUGUGUGUUUUAAAUACCAUAUGGACAUAUACACUAUGAUGGGUCUUUUUAGGAUACAAACAUUGGGGGACGCCUGGGUGGCUCAGUGGUUGAGCAUCUGUCUGCCUUUGGCUCAGGGCAUGAUUCCAGAGUCCAGGGAUCAAGUCCCACAUUGGACUCCCUGCAUGGAGCCUGCUUCUCCCUCUGCUUAUGUCUCUGCCUCUCUCUCUGCAUCUCUCAUGAAUAAACAAAAAAUCUUAAAAAAAAAAAAGAAUACAAACAUUGGUCUCUGAUUUACUUGUGAAUGAAAAUGUCAUACACUGGGUUUUCUUAAACUGAGGUCAAUCCUCUAAGGAACAUGUAGGCAAAGGAUGGAUUUAUCCCAAUCACUUGAAUUGAUUGUAAAUAAACAAAAUAUAGGGUGAUUAAUUACUUGUCCAUUAAUCCAGGAAGGCUGUUGAAAGGACGGAAAUAACCAGGCAUCAAACCAUAGGCAAACAUGGUUUCAUCUGAAACCAUGGUCAGAAUAGAAGUUGUAUUCAAACACACCCAAGAGUGACUUCCACACUGGGCACCACCCAGAGAAAGAGAUGGUCCUUGCCUAGAAACAUCUUCUAUUUAAAAAUAUAUACACUGAGGGGUACCUGGAUGGUUCAGUGGUUGAGCAUCUGUCUUUGGCUCAAGUCCUAGAAUUGAGUUCUGCAUCAGGCUUCCUGCAGGAAGCCUGCUUCUCCCUCUGCCUCUCUCUGUCUCUCAUGAAUAAAUAAAUACAAUCUUAAAAAAAAAAAAAAAAGAAAUAGACACAAUAGUCCACUACACUGGACUAAAUUUUCUUUAAUUUUAAAAAUUAAAAAAUAGAAACAUUGACUAUAUAAAAUCAUUAAAAUGUACAAACCAAUAAAAAGGAUUUUCUUUUCAUCCUCAUGUUCUUUACAUACAUGUUGUUAAAUUUUCCAGACAAUCCUACUCUAAAUAUACCUACAGACCAUGAAAUUAAUGAACCACUCCUCUUUAUUGCCCAACCAGCAUAUGUUUUGAGUCUAGUAAGCUAUAAAUAGAAUUGAAUUCUUAACCAAGUUGGUAUUUCCUUAAUCAAAUCAGACCCAUUUAUGUUAUGCAUGUGUUAUAUCCUUUUUUAAAAAAAAAGUCACAUGAAAAUUUCACAUUUCUCUUUUGAUACUGAUUUAAAGAAACUUUUAUAUAUUCUUUAAAAAUGUUAGUGAUUAUCACUGUUCCUAUCUAAUAGCUAAAAAAUACUGAGAAUCAGAGAUAAUAACCAACUGAUCCAAGAAUACCCAACUGGUAGGUAGAGGAGUCAAGAUAUUAAUCCCAGAGUUUUCUGACUUCCAUAUCCAGAAUGUUCUUAGGUUAAGGAAAAGUAAUCUUGAAUCAGGCCUUGAAUAAGCCAUGAGUGCCCAAUCAGGAUAACACCAUUUGGGUCAAGAAUAAAGGGUGGUUAUAAAAUGAUCAGAAUCCAUUUCCUACACAAUUUUUAUUAUAUAUAUAUAUAUAUAUAUAUAUGUAUACAUAUAUAUAUACAUAUUAUAUAUAUUUUUUAUUGGAGUUCAAUUUACCAACAUAUAGUAUAACACCCAGUGCUCAUCCCAUCAAGUGUCCUCCUCAGUGCCCGUCACCCAGUCAACUUUUCAUAAAUUUCCUUCCUUCUCAAAAAAAAAAAAAAUUUUCCAUACAAUGAGCAAGGAUAGCAUUAUUAGAAUAAUGACUUGGAAAUCUAUAAGAGCCAUUUCUACAUGUAUGCUCUAGUUUACCUGUAUAAUCCUUAAUCUCAUUAUUCUAUAGUCUUGUCUUCUAAUUACCUGUGCUGGGGAGAGGCUGAGAGUUAAACCUAAAGUUUCUGAAUCCAAAGACAUUGGCCCUUGAGAGUCUUCCCAAGGAAUGACUAAAGUACUAAUGUGGUAGGGACACAAUGCUUGAUGAGCCAAAGGGGAUGGUGGCAAUAAAGGCAUUGCUGCAUAAACAUGAGUCAGUUGGAGAGGCAAAAUGGGAAGGAUUUGCUAUGUCUACAGUCCAUGUCCAGGGGUCACUUACAUACAUGUAAGAUAAAACUAAUAACGUCCAACUUACAAACAUUGUAACGAUCAAAAGAAAAUAUGUAGAAGUCCUAUUAGUCAUUCUUUAAUAGCAACCACACAGUAUGAGUGAGCACUGCCCCUUACUGCUCACUGAAGCUCACCAAUGGGAAAAUUUUCCAGGAACAAAGACAAGUGCAAAAUAUGCAAACAGCAUGCCUAGGCUGAGAAUGCUUAUCAAUCUUCAAGAUUAAGGUAUUUAUGGUCUCUAAUUUAGAGAAAAAAGGAAAUGGAACCAAGGAUCCAGGAUGAAGACAACGGAUAGCAUCUUUAACAGACUGGCUCCACAUUUUAAAUUUAAAUGAUAUGGUUUCAUCACUUUAAGUGUUUCGAAGUGACAGGAUGGUCCUUCAAAACAGGACCAUCGCAUUUGCCUAAAUGCUAUGCCAUAGCCACUUGGAGAACAACCAAUGUCAAGCUUGCUACUGAAACUUUAGUUUUAUUCAGAGAUGCUGCUCUCCUAACAGGUAUGCCUCCCCAGAGGUGCUUUCCCAGAGGAAGAUCCGAGCCUCAGCAGUGAAGGUGGGAGGAAGGGACUGAACAGAUUAAGAGAGUGAGACCCAGAACAGAUGACAGAUAUAAACGGCUUUGGGAAAACACUUUCUUCAUCUUUCCAUUUCACACUUGGAUGGCUUCAACAUUUUUAUGGACCCUCCCAAGCCCUACCCCACCUCCUGUCAAUGUUUUAUGUAAUGUCAGCCUAUCAGUUGUGUUGGCACUAUGAACAUGAUGGGCAUGCUGUCAAUAGUCGCCCCGAGGAGGAACUGGCAAGGCCACAGCCUGAGAGCAGGGAUGGGAAUCUUGUAAACACACUUUCCUAAGGUAAACUGAAAUAGACACAUCAGACAGUAAGACACUGACUCUCAGACAUUUUGUGCAGGGGCUGAAUAACCAUUGCUGCAGAAAGGACUACAGACCAGGGACCGCCUGUCAGGGUUAUGGAUUCUCUGGUGGGUGGGAUGGAGGAGGGAGUGACAUAACCACCUAUCAGCCACAAUGGAGAUGAUUGAUGAGCCAGAAAAACCAGGCAGCGAAGCCCAGCCUCUCUCCUGAAUCCAUUUGUUAUUUCCAAUCUCUCUCCGUCUCUGUCUCUCUCCCUCUCACACACACAGCAGCUAAUCAGCAGUGAUAGACGAGGGCAGAUAUUUGCUUCUUCCUUUAGGCACCCAACUGCAUUUUCUCUCAUUUGUUAUCAGGUCCAUCCUCCAUUUCUCAUGAGUCCUUUAUUCAAAUAAGAGUAGAAUCUUCUCCUAAAAUCGACUGUUGAUGCAAGUGUCCUGAAGUGUUGAGAAAAAAAAAAAAAAAAA